GAUGAACGCUGGCGGCGUGCCUAAUACAUGCAAGUCGAGCGAACGGACGAGAAGCUUGCUUCUCUGAUGUUAGCGGCGGACGGGUGAGUAACACGUGGAUAACCUACCUAUAAGACUGGGAUAACUUCGGGAAACCGGAGCUAAUACCGGAUAAUAUUUUGAACCGCAUGGUUCAAAAGUGAAAGACGGUCUUGCUGUCACUUAUAGAUGGAUCCGCGCUGCAUUAGCUAGUUGGUAGGUAACGGCUUACCAAGGCAACGAUGCAUAGCCGACCUGAGAGGGUGAUCGGCCACACUGGAACUGAGACACGGUCCAGACUCCUACGGGAGGCAGCAGUAGGGAAUCUUCCGCAAUGGGCGAAAGCCUGACGGAGCAACGCCGCGUGAGUGAUGAAGGUCUUCGGAUCGUAAAACUCUGUUAUUAGGGAAGAACAUAUGUGUAAGUAACCGUGCACAUCUUGACGGUACCUAAUCAGAAAGCCACGGCUAACUACGUG
rnacentral:rRNA from 1 species